GAGGAGAGCGCUCUGUGCUCUCUGUCAGGAGGAGCUGCCACUCCAGACAGCCAGCUGGACGAGUCCACAUCGCCCGCCGACACCACCGAAGACGACCCCCUCCCGCUGAGGCCCUGGGGCCGCAGCCAAUCACUGCCGGCGUACGCUGACUUCAUCAUGAGGACCAGCAGUUCUUCCUUCAAUAACAACCUGACAGGGACCAGAGAGGAAGUGGCUGAGAGUUCUCUGGAGGCCCCAAAGACGGAGGGAGCUGAGGCCGGGCCUGAACCGACCCAGAGGAGCACGGACGCGGAGAGGAAGACUGACAACCAGAAGGAAGCGCUGACAGCCAGCGCCGACCCCGUGGACCAACUGGACUUCUACAAACCCGACCCCUUCGUUCACGGUCAGGCCGAAGAUGAUCUUUUCAAUGAAGAUUUGUUCCCAAAGACGGAUUCCUCAGACGUCUUCGCCUCAGACCCCUUCAAAGGCACCGACCCGUUCGCGGCAGACAUCUUGUUCCCGCCGGGAUCAGACGAGGCGGCGGCGGCGGCGGUUGCCAACGACGACGCCGACACCAGCCUGUCGUGCGUCGAGCACAAAGCGUCCACGGGGACCCAGUGCUUCGAGUCCGAGUUCCCGGACGAGGACAGCGACAUCGAGAUCAGCUACAGCCGCGAGGACCUGGACGCCGUCGCCAUGGCGGCGGACGCCACGGACCGGGCGGCGCCGGCCGAGCCACGGGGGUUCAAGCCCAUCCAGUCCUCCUCCGAGGACCUGGGGCUGGACGCGGCGUCCCGGGGCUGGCGGUCCCAGGGACAGUACUCGGUGGAGUCGGACCCCAACGGCUACGAGCUGGACCUGGCCGCCGUCUCCCCCCCCUCGGACAUCGAGGAGCUCAGCCUGGCCUCCCUGACCGGGGACGCGGCCGGCGGGAAGAACAGCACCGCGGCGGUCAAAGGUCUGAGUUCCGAUUCGGCUCAAUAUUCCCCUGAGCUGGCGCCCUCUGGUGCCGUACCUGACGCAAUCAAGACCGCAUCCGACAUGACUCAGCUUGUCAUCACAGAGCAGCCCCUUUCCUGUGAGGUCACUUCCUGCCUAGAAGCACAGCCCCUUGAGUCAGAAACGGACAACAGCUUCGAGGUAGAACCCCAACUAACGCUGGUUCACCACGACUCAGUCGAUGCUCCAAAUCCCUCGACGCAGAUCACUUCAGAGAUGAAUGAAUGCAGUUUCGAGAUGAGCUACCCAUCCACCCACUCCUCCUUUGACCCGUACGGGUUCAAACUGAGUCCGGAACAUUCCACUCACAGCCUUCUGGAUCCUGACGAUGAGGAAGAUCUCAGCCCAGAAUCGAAUGAUCCUGAUUUGGCCUUUGACCCAGAACCCACCUCUUCUCAGCUCAACUUUGAUCGCUAUGGGUUUGACCUCAGCGCCUCCCGGGUAGCCAGUGAGGAUGUGGUUGACCCCUAUGGCUUUAAGCUGAGCCAGGAGGAGGAGAACCAGGAAGUACUUGAGGUGUGUAGCCAUGACGACCAGGAGGAGGUGGAACUUUGUAGCUUUACCAACGAGGAGCUAGUAGAACCUUAUAGUAACCAGGAAGUUGUGGAUCCAUUCGCCCAGGACAACCAGGAAGUGCUUGAACCAUGUAACCAAAACAAUCAGGAAAUGCUGGAUUUCUGUAGCAAUGGAAAUCAGGAGAUUUUGGAACCAAGUAUGUCCGAUACCAAGAAUGUUCUGGACUUGUUCAGCAUUGAGAACCAGGAGUUGGUUGACCUGUCUAGUCCUCUUAACCAGGAAGUGCUGGAACCCUUCUGCGAUGACAACCAGGAACCGAUGGUAUCUCAUGACAAAGAUGAACAAGAACUACCACAGCAAUGUAACCAGGAAGUAGUAGAAACAAGUAUCAACAACAAGGAACCACGGGCUCCUUCCUAUUAUGAAAACCAGGAGGUUCUGGACUUCUGUGGCCAAGACAACCAGGAACUCCAAGGAUUCAGUAGAAACCAGGAACUGCAAGAUUACAGAAGCCAUGAUAACCAGGAGGUGCUGGACUUUCUAAGUAAUCAGGCUUUACCGGAGGCUAACAAUAACCACCACUGUGAGCAAGACUCAGAGAUGUACUUCAAUCCAGACACAGACACACAGUCCAACAUCUCCAACAGCGCUAACCCUGCAAACAGCUCCUCCGGUUUUCCGGCAUCAGAGGUCUCCAAUGGCCCCGAGGCCAUGCACCUGGAGGGUCUGGAGCUCGGUAACACGACUGGCAGUAUCAACAACUGCAACACUUACAAAGAUGAGCUCCUCAGCAUGUCAGUAGACCAAGAGCAAGCCACGAGUAACAUGUCCACCAACAGCGACCCUGCCACAUUUAAUGUUUCUUCGGGCCAAAAUUUGUUACAAGGCGACUUAGGGUCCGUGUUUAGUGCCGGAGGCUACAUCGGCUGUGAUGACGUAGCUGAUGACCUGGAGCCCCUUCCCCACAGACAGGGAAACCCUGUAGCAGAGCCAGUGGAACCAAUAGAACCAGUGCGGCCAGUGCAACCAGUGCGACCAGUGCGACCAAUGAGGCCUCCUCGUCCUUCGCUCUUGGCCAAGGAAAAGGCUCAGUCGCAGACUCAGGGCGUAGACCUAAAGUGACCUGACCACUGGCCUACGAGUGUCAACCACCUGACCAACACAGCUGCCGUUUAUCAUAGC
rnacentral:lncRNA from 1 species